AAUCUACUCCCUCUGUUCCAUAAUUCUUGUCUGAAAUUUGCUCAAAAAUGGACAUAUCUGUUCCUAAAAAAUGUCUAGAUACAUGUAAGUUUUCGACAAGAAUUAUGGAACGGAGGGAGUAUCAU
rfam:Brachypodium distachyon strain Bd21 chromosome 1, whole genome shotgun sequence.